rnacentral:rRNA from 1 species
AGCAGCCGCGGUAAUUCCAGCUCCAAUAGCGUAUAUUAAAGUUGUUGCAGUUAAAAAGCUCGUAGUUGAACCUCGGGGUCUACCCAUUGGUCAGGCUUAAUUGUCUGCACUGGUGAGAUGGAUCUCUACCUUCUGAGGAACUUUCAUGCCAUUUAUUUGGUGUGAUGGGAAAUCAGGACUGUUACUUUGAAAAAAUUAGAGUGUUUAAAGCAGACUAUCGUCUGAAUACAUUAGCAUGGAAUAAUGAAAUAGGACGGACUGAUUCUAUUUCGUUGGUUUCUAGGAUCACCGUAAUGAUUAAUAGGGAUAGUUGGGGGCAUUAGUAUUCAAUUGUCAGAGGUGAAAUUCUUGGAUUUAUUGAAGACUAACUACUGCGAAAGCAUUUGCCAAGGAUGUUUUCAUUAAUCAAGAACGAAAGUUAGGGGAUCGAAGACGAUCAGAUACCGUCGUAGUCUUAACCAUAAACUAUGCCGACUAGGGAUCGGAUGAUGUUAAUUUUUUAAUGACUCAUUCGGCGCCUUACGG